rnacentral:tRNA from 1 species
GCCGGAAUGUAGCCGGCGGGGCCGUGGGGCGCGGGUCAGGCGCCGAGCGACUUCGGGCCGAGGUAGCUGCCGCCGGUCGCGUCGAUGGUGUUGGCG